GUUACUAUGUCAACAGCGAUAUCUUCACAUGUGAAAGAUAUGGUAUCUUCCACUGGUGAAAGAUAUCAAGUUCUCAACACUAGAGAAAACCAGGUAUUUCAUCGUUAUCUAUAUUAUAAAUAGAUUUUGAUCACAUUCUUUGGCUAGGAUCCUACGAUGAUGUUGAUUUGGGUAUGUUUAGUAGCAUUUAAAGASGAAAAGAAACGGAGUAAAACAACAACAUCGUGUUUAUUCCGACAUCUUGUAAAACUACUAGCACGAGGCAACAUCGUAGCGCAAUGCAUACUGGGAGCUAUAGCGUUAAUUACGUAAGCAUAAAUUACAAUCUAUCAACAGAUAUGGCAUCAUUAAAGCUACUGUUAUAUAUUUUAUUAAAAAAAUUUGGUGGUAGUGGUGGUGGGAGUGGUGGUGGUAGUAGUAGUAGUAGUAGUAGUAGUGGGAGUGGUAGUAAUAGGACUCCAUGCUGUCCAAUUAAGAAAUAAUUGGACGAGGAAAAUUCCGAUGACUUCAAUUAGAUGAGGCAGUAGGCCGAGGAAUUUUUCGAGUCUAAUUAUUUCUUGAUUGGAGAGCUUGAAAUCCCAUUACUUAUUAAUUAUAUAGCUGCCUAUUUAAUGCCAUGUCAGCAAGACCUGUCCAAUUAAUGAUGGUAAUUGAACUGAGUGGAGUGCAAUUUGGACCAAAAUCAUACGAGUGAUUACAAAAUUGCACGUCCGCGUAGCGAGAGCGCAAUUUGUUAAUCACAAGUAUGAUUUUGGUCCAAAUUUGCACGACACGAAGUUCAGUUACCACUUAAUUAAUCAUGUCCUUUUUUGUAAUCAUACACAAGAAAAAGACACAUUAAAUAUCAUUAAUAAUGCUAAACAUUCUCUUCUCUGAUUGGCUGAAUAUAAGAAAUCUAUUCUGUUAUUGGUUCUUCCAAAAAGAUGCGAUUAAGAGCUCCUUAGGAUCCGAUAUGGGAAUUAAUCGCACUCCUUUGAACCAAUCAGAUUGAGGACUUGGUAGUGAUUAUAAAAAGGAUAUGAUUAAGAAAACAAUUGGGCAGUUACCUAUAUGGGAUUAAUGAGAAGAUGCAUAAUUAUUAUUAUUAUUGCCGUUUCGUUACUCAAAGUAACAUAAGUUAUACAUAAGUAAUAUAACAUUACUCAUAAGUUAUAUUGUAACAAUAAUCAAUAAGCACACACAUCACUUUAACAAUAUAGCCUGAAUGCAUAGGCUGAUGGUCCUUUUCUGGUGGUACGUGUCUUCCUAAUUUCACAGUGGCUGGUACAUUUCAACGAAAUAAAGAAGUCGCGCGAAGAAUGCCGCUUUCCAUUUACACAGGUAUUGAAAUAAAGCUUGUCGUGUUGUAUUUCGUAUAACGAAUAACAUGUAAUCUUUUUUACCCAGCUUCAAAGGUAAGAGGACAAAUGGYUUUCAACCAGUUUAUUAUUUUUUUSCUUUAUDAUGUCUAAAACAUGCAUCCUUUUGCGAGUGUCAUUAUCAUAGGGUAUUUUGUUUGGUAAUCACAUUCCCAGUGCAUAAAAUCCCAUUUUCCCAUCCCAAAAAAGGCGCGAAUCCCAGCUCCCAUUUUACCCCUUCAGGACCCUUUUGUCACAUUCAAAGUAUAUUUAAAUUCAAAAUUCAAAAUAACUUGUUUUACAGCUUCGUAUCCUCGAGGCAAUGGCUGCUAAGAUCACGCUCUUCUUUGGAGUGAUUUCGUGAAAGGAUCACAGCCAAGUCAUCUAAGGCACCAUUUACACUUACAAAAUAUAAAAAUAACAUGAUAAGUAAUAAUUAUUUUCGAAACACAGGUGUCCUGUCGAUGACACUCUCCAAAAUCACUAUCACUACAUUUUAAAGUUUUAGAACACAGCCUUCAACUUAAGUAAUGAUAUGAAAGACUUAAACCAGUAAGAUGUAAACCUGUAAUUAAUUGAGUAAUUGAUUAAUGGAUUGAUUGCUGGGUUGGUGGGUUGGUGGGUCGGUGGGUCGCUGGGUCGCUGGGUUGCUGGUUGAGUGGCUUUUAUUUGGAUUUCUUUGCAUUGUUAAUCCUUUUACUUGUCUUUUGGCUACGAGAAAUGUAAAUCCAUCCAAUAAUGCAUUUUCUCUUUUUUUCUUUAUUUUAGAUUCAAAGGAUUUAGUGCACUUUAAUGAUCAUAAUCCGCUUAUAAUAUCCAUAACAGUUGGGGUUGCAGUGGUUCUUUUGGUAAAAUAAGUGUUCACUAUAAAGUAAGUACUGGCUGAUACUACUAGACACUGGAUAAAUGUCAUUUUAAAGUACAAUGCUUACAACGUAUGGUGAUUUUAAGCCGACAAUACGAGUUUGUAUUGGCGGCUAGUUGGGAGAAAAUUUAUUCCGUAUUGGCUGUAGUGGCGAAUAAAUUUUCUUCCAACGCCGGCAAUAUAAACCCGUAGGAAAAUUGAUUUAACUUAAUACACCGUAUGGUUUGUGAUGUUUAGAAACUGACGUUUCGGACGUUAGUCAUUCGUCGGAGUAAAUGUAAAGUGAUGGAGGUGGAGAUGUGUAUAUAUAGGGAACGUGGAAGGUGAAUAACCAAUGAGAGAUAAGUAAGCGGAAAAACGAAAGAAAACAAGAGGAUUAAAAGUAAUGAUAGAUUAAUUAAAGGCGAAGCGCUCGUUCAUGCCAAGAGGGUUGUGCGUACCUAAGGUGUGAAUAAGCCUCAUUUCUUUAGUUUUGCGACAAUGGUUGCCGCUGGUAAUUAAAGAUAAGCCAAAAACAACAAAGUCAUAGAUACAUGAAGAUAUAGAAAUAUAGAUAAGUUAUAGUGCUUGGGAACGAGGUUAUUCCGGGCGAAAGCCCUUGGAAUUAAAUUCGGCAAAAUUAAUUUCCGACCUCGCUGUCAGAGAUAGAAUGAUCGGGAGAAUAACAAUGGCGGGAAACUGGUUUGGAAGGAUCAUUAGUCCGAAUAUUAUAGAGAUGAUCCCUUAUGCGGUCACCUAAACGGCGUCCAGUUUCACCGAUGUAUAACUGAUUAAAGUUAUAACAUUGAAUGCAAUAAAUAACGUUAGAUGUGGUACAAUCAAAAUGGUAAGUGAUGGUAAAAGUAGAUGUGRGACCUGUGACAGAAGUGCGAAGAGCGAUGAAAGGACAAGYGUUGCAACGUUUACGAGAACAACGAAAGGUGCCAGGUUCUUUAUCAGAGGGAAGAGUUCCUUUAACAAGGAAAGCACGAAGGUUACGAUCUCUUUUGAAGGAGAAAAGGGGGCGUUCACUGAAAAUAUUAGAAGUCGUGGAAUCUGAUUUGAGUAAAUAGAAGAUGCCUUCUGCAAAGCACGAUCAACGAUAGAUGCCGGGYACUUACGAUCAAUAAAAAAAGAACGCAUUUCACGGCAUUUGUUAGARAAAUCAAUGUCGUCACUACAAAUGCGACGUAAACGCAGAAACUGUGAAAAGGGGAUAGAAUUGGGCGUGUGCUUAGAAUGCGAUGAAGAGUACUAUAAAUAGGAAUGAGAAUCGGUAGGUUUGUAAUGCACGCUGGCACUGAGAUGGUUAGCUGUGAUACUGAUAGAGAUAUCCAGAAAGGAUAUGGAGGUUUCACUAAUUUCCGAGRUGAAUUCAAGUGAAGGGUGAAAAGAGUUAACAUAAGAGAUAAAAGCCUCAAGAUCAGAUUUACUACAAGAUGUAGCACCAAUGCAAUCGUCGAUGUAACGACAAAAAAGUUCAGGCUUGGGACCAGUGUACUGYUGAAAAAUUUGCUCUUCAAUGAAACCCACAAAUAAAUUAGUGUAACUAGGACCCAAUUUAGUGCUCAUAGCUACGCCAUUGACUUGUUGAAAAUAGCGGCCAUCAAAAGAAAAACAAUUGASUUUAAGAACGAGAUCAGCUAAGCGUAGUAAAGUAGCAGUGCURGGUUCUAAAACAGUACGGCGAUCAAARARAUGUUCGAGAGCAARAAGUCCUUCGUUAUUAGGAAUGACUGUAUGAAGAGAUUUGACAUCCAAAGUAAACAAAUACUUAGAAAACUAAAAUCGUUGAAGAUUCUAA